rnacentral:rRNA from 1 species
AAACAUGCUUUGAUCCGGAGGUGUCCGAAUGGGGAAACCCACCCAAUUUAUUGGGUAUCACUUACUGAAUACAUAGGUAAGUGAGGCGAACGCGGAGAACUGAAACAUCUAAGUACCCGUAGGAAAAGAAAUCAACCGAGAUUCCCAAAGUAGCGGCGAGCGAAAUGGGAUUAGCCCUUAAGUUACAGUGGAUUUAGCAGAACGCUCUGGAAAGUGCGGCAAUAGAGGGUGAUAGCCCCGUAUGCGAAAGUGAUGAUGAAGGACUAGAGUAGGGCGGGACACGUGAAAUCCUGUCUGAACAUGGGGGGACCACCCUCCAAGCCUAAAUACUCGUACAUGACCGAUAGCGAACACAGUACCGUGAGGGAAAGGUGAAAAGCACCCCGAU